rnacentral:lncRNA from 1 species
AAUUAAAUCAUUAAGGUUGCAAACACAUAAAAAGGCAAAUAGAUCAUUCAGUAGACAAAGCUCCAAAAUAUCUGAUAACAUCCUAGAAGAUCACUAACCUCCAAACAUACUAGAUUAUAGGUCGUGCAAGUUCAUAAUAUUGAUGAUCAAUAAAUUUCUGGUGGCCUGAGAUAUUCCUUCCAGUAUCAUGAGUUUCUGUCUGUAUCAUUUCUUGAGACUUGGAUGCCUCCAGAGAACAAUUGUGCCACUUGUUUAUAGCUUCAUCAAUAGCAUUGAUUUAUAUUUUUGACUUUAUAGCAAUAUCUAGAGCAUUUUCUGAUGAUGGCAAGGGUUCAUUUGCUUGCAAACUGCUGUCACCAUGGACCUUCUGAUCAACACAACAAAAUGGAACCACUUCAUCUAAUUGGUCCGCAGUUUAGUUCAAUCAUCUAUACUUUUUUUUUGGAUUCUCAUCUUCAAUAACUUUACUAGAUGAAUGCCUACAAUUCUCUGUUGAGUUUUGGCACCUCGAAUUUGAUCCAUAGUAGGAGAAAAGCCCAGCAGACGCAGCAUGAGGCUCACGACGGAGCGGCUCGAAGGUGCAACCCACAGACCCGGCCUACAGAUGCCCAAGCCUAUCAUAGCACGCAGCCAGCGGGGCCUGCAACGUGCAGCCCAGGCAUGUUGGCCUGCAGUGCGGGCGCCCAAGUGGGGCCUGCACGUGCUGGCCC